rnacentral:rRNA from 1 species
UACAGAGGUCUCAAGCGUUGUUCGGAUUCAUUGGGCGUAAAGGGUGCGUAGGCGGCGCGGUAAGUCGGGUGUGAAAUCUCGGAGCUUAACUCCGAAACUGCAUUCGAUACUGCCGUGCUUGAGUGCAGGAGAGGAACGCGGAAUUCCAGGUGUAGCGGUGAAAUGCGUAGAUAUCUGGAGGAACACCGGUGGCGGAGGCGGCGUUCUGGACUGUUACUGACACUGAGGAACGAAAGCCAGGGGAGCAAACGGG